CUCUUUUGGCAUCUGGAGUAUGCCAUCUUUUCUCCAGUGGAUGACAUGGAUCCAGGCAAAAUGUAGAGUUGCAAAGAUGAGCAGACAACCACCUACCGGUACAAUAGCAUUGCUGGCAGCUGCUGAGCCAUUUCAUUCAACAGAAUCCCCUGACUGGAACCUUCGCUUCUGGAACUGGCCUUUCAUCACUUCCUCAGGACACAGAAAGUUACGUGUCUAAAUAAAAAAGAAGGAGAUCAAAGAAGAUGCUUAGAUACAUGCACAAGCCACAAGGAACCAGACUUUAAAGAUGGGAUUUCAUGACAUUUUGGUUGUGUAAGACACUUUUAUU